GGUUGUGGCUUAUUGGUAGAGUGCUUGCCUAGCACACCUGAGGCACUGGGUUUGAUCCUCAGCACCA
rnacentral:tRNA from 1 species